AUACUCUGGUUUCUCUUCAAAUUGUAUAAAUCUUUCACCUUUUAUUAAAGAUUUCUUUGGGGAGGAACAUUUAUGAGUUUCUAUCUGAUUUUUUGAGGCUUUGCUUUAGUGAGGCC